CCUACGGGUGGCAGCAGUGGGGAAUAUUGGUCAAUGGGCGCAAGCCUGACCCAGCAACGCCGCGUGAGGGAAGAAGGCUUUCGGGUUGUAAACUUCUUUUCUUCGGGACGAAACAAGUGACGCUACCUGCGGAAUAAGCCACGGCUAACUACGUUCCAGCAGCCGCGGUAAUACGUAGGUGGCAAGCGUUCUCCGGAUUUAGGGGGUUUAAAGGUUGCGCAGGGGGAAGAUAAAGUCAGCGGGAAAAUUGAGAGGCUCAACCUCUUCGAGCCGUUGACACUGGUAUUCUUGAGUGAGUGAGAAGUAGGCGGAAUGCGUGGUGUAGCGGUGAAAUGCAUAGAUAUCACGCAGAACUCCGAUUGCGAAGGCAGCAUACCGGCGCUCAACUGACGCUGAUGCACGAAAGUGUGGGUAUCGAACAGGAUUAGAUACCCCUGUAGUC
rnacentral:rRNA from 1 species